AAGUAUUAUAUCUCAUACAACCCACUAAAAAUUCUUCCAGAGUCCCGUACCCAUACCGAUUUUUCUGACAACCUUUUUCUUUUUUUGAACCAAUCAGUCAGGAUAUCUAAGGCACACUGACAAAUUUCCUUUUAAGGCAGGAAAAAGCUUCAGUUUCCCUUGUGCUGCUCUGGCACACUGCGAAAAAUGAUGAAACCAAAAGAAACAGCAUGCAGAGAGUAUUUUGCAUGGAUCCGCCUGGCACCGUUUCGUAUGGGUUUUUGAACUACUGCCCACAACAUAUAUGGCAAAAACAGUUCUAAUCAGAUGUGGUAACUCUAAUCCAUUUCACACGCAUAAGUUCUUGAAGCCUGGAACUAGAUAGUGCUUACUUUGAAACAUGGCAGCCUCUGCAGACGAGCUACGUAAGAAUGAAAAAAUUCAAAUUCCUUUGAUAGAUUUGAGGGGCUUCUGUCAGGAUGAACUCAUUAUGAUAGCAAGAUUAUCUGGAGACAUUGCCGAGCCACAACUGAGUAGUAUGAUUAGGCCCAAGAUAGAUAAAACCAUAUUUAAUGAAAGUGCAGGAAGCAGAAGACAAACUUAUUAUGGGCAUAGAGUGCCUAGGAAGCGGAAAAAGCUUGACCUGGAGUCUGAUGCAAGUGAAGCUUGUCAAGGAAUCUCCAUGAGAUCAAUUAUGAAGUAUUCAGCCAGGGGAAAAUCUGGCAGUAACAAGAAGUCAGGAAGAGACAUAUUAGAUUUAGCUAAUAAACUUCUUCACAUCAUGGACAAGGAAGAUGCUAAUCUGAUUAAUGGAAGAGAUUCACUUUCUUCAAUUGUGUCAGAGAAAACUGAUGUUCCAAAGCUUGCACACAUUGAUGAACACAAGCGAGAUGAUCAGAGUCAUGAAGUCCUUAAUGCAAAUUCAUAUAAUAAAUGUGAAGAACACUCCUAUUGUAUUAAUGGGGUCGUUGGAACUGCAGGGAGAGAUUUGGGAAUUGGGAAAGUUAAGAGUGUACAAGGAUCACAAGAAGAUCAAAAUGACAUUGUAGUUAAUGUGAGAUAAAACGUACCAGAAACCAGCAGUACAACUUAAGUACUAGAGACAGAUUCAGAAAAGAAGGGAGGGAACUCGUGUGAAAAUUAGAAGGAUUACAAGUAUAUUAAAUUAAAUAAUUAAAGUUUUAGAUGAUGCAAGUUCAAGUGAACCAGAAACCAUUAACAUGCCCACAAAGUAUCUGUUGGAAAAACCAGAAGGGUUAUAUGAAGGUCUAUAUAAAUUUGGAGAUUGUACAAGUUAGGAUAUACCGGAAACCAAGAGCACCUCUGAAGUACCUAGAAGAAGUUCUGAAAUGGCAAAAGGUAUCUGGCACAUCAGCAAGUUUGAAAUUCUGAAGCUUUUCAGGUUUGAAGGAAAACCAUUGUGCAUUUGGAGUCUGUUCAUCCAAAGUGAGAAAGUAAUUUCUUUAGGAAUGAUAGAUGCUCGACAGAGAGCAUUGUGUUCAUAGAAAUAAAAUUGUUUCAAACAGUUAAGGAUCCUUACAAAAUAUCAGAUAUGACUAUGGAAAUACCUAACCAAUGAACAAAGCAAUAGUUUGUGAGAAGCAAAGUGAAGUUUAGACCUUUUGUAUGAGGCAUCACAAGGAGAUUUUUUAUUUGCGAGGAGAUAAACUACCUGUUGUGGAGAAUAUUGACAAACCAAAGAGAGUAUGGAAGGCCAAAGAAACAUAUUUCUAAUGGAAAUGCACUCUCUUCCAACUCAAGGAAAGGAGUCCAAAUCAAUCUUCUUCCAGUACAUCAAAAGAAGAUGGUAACGACUAUUAUAUUUUAGUAAAAGCAGGUUGUAGAAGUCAAUAUGAGUGUAAGGAAACUUGAAAAGUAGAACGAAUUUAUUUUCUGACGCAGCUUUGAAUGAUGGAAAGGAAGCACCUUGUGAUGGAAGUGUAGCAGGUAAAUUGACAAGCAAAUGAUGCCUUCAAAUGAUGGAAGUCCAUUAUAAAAUACACAGCAGAUGUGAGACAGGGGCAGGCUAACAGCAGGAGUGUUUUACAUACAGAAACUUUAUGAGCAAUUUUGAAGAAUAAAAGGAUGGCUAAAAGAAGGAAUGAGUGGGACAUGCCAGGGAUGGUGUCAUAUAGAAAAGCAUGUAGCUUCUGACGUUUUACAGAGAAGAGAGUGGGAAAACAGGCUUCCCGAUGGUUGGAAGGUUGAGGUCUGUCUACCAAGGACCAAGAGUGAGAAAUACGACUAUUUUCAUAAGUUUGGUGCUUAAGAAGGUUUUGAAGUUUAAGCUCUCUACAGCCAGAAGAUAAGAUGGAAAUGAAGACCUGGAUACUCAUAUGACAAAUUGAACUCUCGAGAUAGCCUCUGCACUCUUUUGGGUUCAGAUCUACUUCUCUAAUCAUUUAGAUUUUAGUGUGAUCGGAAACGUUGUAAGGAAAACAUACACAGUUAUUACCCAGAAGCUUUCUUAACAAUUCAUAGACUGGAAAAACAAUACAUUCUAGAAACAAUUAAUCUAAAUGUAAAAACAACACCAUCUUUUUCUUGGCUAAAGUCAAUCCAAACAAGUUUUUGAAAGGAAAAUGAAUUUCAACACAAGACAAGUGAUUUGAGAAAUUGAACAACUAAUUAUAUGCAA